UGCCGUGGUGCAGUGUGCCCAAACCGCACGCCACCCCCCGCCGCUGACGUACCGACAACAAAAAAAAGCUGCCAAAUGAACCGGAUUUUUGUUUUCACCUAAAAUUUCGGCGAGCUCGCAUCGAGGGUGUCUGUAAGCUGCUUGUGUUGCUCGCUGUUGUUGUUGCUGUUUUCUGGAUUGGUCUUAGUUUACGAGUAUCGCUUGUCACUCUGGCUGGCCCCGAUCACCCCCCAAUCACCCGACCCCUCUGACACAGCUGUUUGCUUAGGUCGUUAGUGGGUUUGCACGUUGUGCAGGCAAUGCCAAAAUUCGUAGGAAAAACGUUGACGUCUCUACACGAAAAUUUGAAUAUGUAAACAGAGCGGGAGCUUGAUCGCUGUAAUGCCUCUCUUUAUGGUUUUUUGUGAGCGUUUCAGGUGGCAUUCACUAUUCUCGGAAGCUCAUCAAUAAUCAUCACAUCAUCUGAUUUUAGGUCUUGGUUAACAAAUGAGUAUUGUUAACAUUUGCGAUUCUUGGAACGUUGCCAAAUAUGUACACGAGCGAUUUCUUUCAGCGAUCCAUCAAUUCUCGGAGAGCUUGCUACUUAUUAUUUCAAAUAAGCUUUGUUUAGAUUUAAAAAUAUAUUAAAAAUGUGUAUAUAUUACAGUUUUUGAAUUUUUAGCGAUCACCGUAAAAAGCUAAGAGCUAGGAAGCUGUAAUUUUUACACAUUUACAUUUACGGAACCAGUUGGAUAGUAAUUCAUAUAUUUUAUCUCUACUUUAUGUAAUUGUAAUAAGCCCUGCAAAGUUUUAUUUCUUUUUAGAGAUUAAAGACUAUAAAAUUUGGU